CUCCCUCUUCUUCAUCUUUUUUUUUCUCUCGCACUUAUUCCAUCACCAUCCAUGGUGUGUACACAAGCUUCGCUUGCUGCUGCACGCCGUUACAAGAGGAGGAAUCACGAGCUCUUCUUCUUCAUGUGCCGUUGCUCAUCUCCCUGCUCUCAUGGUUAUGAUAUCAUCCUGAUUCUCAACUUAAUACUCUAGAUGCAUCGGCCGUAGCAGCCAGGGGAAAUCCUCGAUCUUCUCCGUCUUAUUUACGUGCGGUGCUGGUUUCUGUGAGUGUGAGCACAGAGUUUUUCUUCCCUUCUCAGCGUCGGACUAUCCCUCUUCCUGGUUCAACGUUAUCGGCUUUGCUGGUUAGUGAAUCUUAUCUCUCUUCCCUCCUCCGUCUGGUGCUGUUGGUGUGUGAGGAGCUGAGUAGUUAGAGCUGGAGGUUCGGCUUGUAAGUCUCUUUGCUUUGUGGUUGGUUGUUGUGACUCUAUUCCUCUCCCUCUCUAGUGCAUCGUCUUCAAAAUUUCCCUCCCCUGUUCAGCUUAAGGAAUAAACCUUGUGGUGAGGGCGGUUAAGGGAUAAAUUACAAUGUUUGAAUCAUCUCAGGUAAGUGGAUAGCGUCCCAACUGAUUUUUUUUUUCAAUCAAAAUUUUCUUUACUAAAAUAUUAUGUUUUUUUGGAAAUCAUUUUAAUAGCAUUAAUGCAAUUAUUGGAUAUUUGUUGAUUAAUUUUACUUUAUUUUGAGAAAUUAGCUUUACCAAAUUUGAAAUGUUAUUUGAUCAAUUAAAUCAAGUUUGGACUUUGAUUAUGAGAUUUUUUUUAUUUAUCAAAUAUUGGAUUGAUACAGAGAAUGAUUCAUACGAAUUCGACUUUGAAAGUUUUGUUGAUUAUUCAAUAAAUGCAAGCAUGAGCAUUGGAUAUGAAAUUUGAUUCUGGCAAGUUUUAAUGCUUAAAAAUAUUCAUGCGAGUUUGAUUUUGAGAAUGAGAACUGUAUCUUGAAAGUGAUGAUUUUCUCGCAUGUUUGAAAAUGGUUUUAAAAAAGGGACUUUAUACGGAACACUAGUUGCUAACGGCAGUUUUGUUAGCCCUUGGCGCGCCAUGGUACACCUAGCUAGUAAGGUGUUUAUAGGAGGUGCUAGCCCCGUGCGAUGGCCAACGCACGUGGAACGGAGGGAUGGUAUUCGUGAGCAUCGUACUCACGUUUGUUUCGUGGCAUAAGCCGCGUUUGGUUAUUUACCCUCGUGAAUUGUGUGUCCACAUUUGUUUCGUGGCUUCGGCCGCAUUUGGUUAUUUACUCUCGUGGAUUGUGUGUCCACGUUUGUUUCGUGGCUUCGGCCGCGUUUGGUUAUUUAACCUCGUGGAUUGUGUGUCCACGUUUGUUUCGUGGCUUCGGUCGCGUUUGGUUAUUUACCCUCGUGGACUGUGUGUCCACGUUUGUUAAUUGUUCUGAUAAGUCCCUAUAAUUAUGAAUCUAAUUAUUUGAUGAUUUUACAUUCCAUUGAUAUUAUUCAAUAAUUUGUUUAUAAAUAUUUAUUUCAUUUAUGUGCCUUCUUGGGAGCAAGCUCUAUUAACAUUUGCCAUGAUAGUUCAAUGAUUUAAGACCUAAUUUUAAAAUUUUACAAAGCUAUUCUAUUUUAAAGUUUAUUAUAUUUUUAUGAAAGCUGUUGUCUCUUUGACUCACGCAUUAUUUUAAUCUUUUCCUUUUUAUUCAAGUUCUAUUAAUUAUUGUUGGGACGUUAUUCACUGAAAAUUAUUAUUUUGGUCUCAGAUACGUUAGCUAAUGUUGUGCCUUCCGCUAAUCCUUGAGGGGCUAUAAUAUUCGGUUGAGAUGAAAAGCUAAAAUCAAACUUUUUUAAAGUAAAUUUCUUAUGUCAGGUGCUCCACAUAAGCUAUAGUUAGGGUCCUCAUCCUUAUGAUUUAUACUUUGUUAUUUACUGAUCGGAAGAGAAUUCUUUGCUGCUACUAUUGUUUUGUAAAAUAUUAAAUCUUUUGUUCAUAUAGUUUGUAUUGACAAUGGCUUAAUUUAUUACCAAAUGUCUUCAUGGCUUUUAAAUUAGAGUUUUCUUGAGUAAAGACUUUUAGGAUAUGGGUAUUAUCCUUAUAUUCUGUGCCAAACAUGUUCUGUUUUUGGGGUGUGACAAGAACUCCCUUGUUGAUCCAGUCUUGGAUGAUGCUCUUGAAUCCCUAACACGCCUUGGUGCUGUGACUCCACGAGUAAUGGUACUUAUAGUAUUCCUUCCCUCUCUAUUCUUCCUUCGAAGGAAUUUUAUAAUCCAUGAGCAGGGAGAUGAAGUUUUCUUUGAGGAGGAAAUCAAAAAUUUUCUCUAUUUUAGUAGUAUCAAAGGUGUACUAAAGUGCGUUCAGUUUUUUGGAAAGUUCUCCGGCCUUCUUUACCAGAGCUGGGCAUGUGUAGUUACCAGCAUUCUUCAGUUCUACCACCGCCAUGUCUAGGUCUCCAAAAUAGGUCCCUGCUAUAGUCCAUCGACGAUGGUCCUCUUUCCUGAGUAGUUCCUCAUAACCCCAUACCUUGGCCGCGAGCUCAAAGAAAUCUUGAAAUUCCAUCUCCUAAAAUUUCUUUCGGAGUUCUUUAUCCAAUCCUGCGUGUGCCAGCUUGACAAAUUUAGUUUUUAGAAAUGGCACGUAGUACCUGCUUCUCAAAUGUUUGAAUCUCACCAAGUAUUGGUUUGCUGUCUCUCCAGCCUGUUGUGUGAGCUUGCAGAGUUCUGUUAUGCUAACCUUCGGUUCUGCUUUAUAAAACUGGAUGUGGAACUUUUGCUCCAUUUCUAUCCAGCUGAUGAUUGAGUUACGAGGUAGUGACAUAUACCAUGUGAACGCCGGGCUCGUGAGAGUAUUCGGGAACAAUCUCAGCUUCAAGUUAGCGAAGUUCUCAUAAUUAGCAAUCUUGCUACAUUGGAUUGUAAACCUCCCAAUGUGCUCCAGUGUUGACUGCGUUUCAUCUCCUAAGAACAACGUGAAGUCAGGGAUCCUGUAUCCUUGAGGGUUUGGGUUGUCCCUGUCUAUAUACUCUGGAUAAGGUUUUGAAAGGUGGGGGCGGCCGAUUGGCCUCGGCCCUGGUCUAUAUAUAUCUUGGAUGGCGUCCCUCAGGCCUCCAUGUUCACCAACUGGUUCUGAAGCUUGGUCGAACAUUUUGGGAUCACUACCGUGCCCCCCGAGCCACUCGUGCCAGGUUUAAAUGUGCGGCCUCAAUGGCCAGCACCUAUAUUGAUUCUUACUUGUUGCCCUUCAAGCAGCCCUACACUUGAGCCUGCUUACGUGAUUUCAGUAUGUUUUCUUGUUAUGGACUUUAUUGAGCUUCGAGGCCAGCCCCUUUUGUUUAUAUUGGGCCUGACGCUUUGAUUACUCAGCCCAACUAGCCUUGUGACCUAUUUGAGCGACGUUUCAUAUUUAGCCCAAACACAUGGAUAGAAACUUGUUUCAAGGUAAUUAUUAUAAUCUAUUUUAGCAUCAUAAUAGGAGCCUUGUUUCCCUCAGCGGCUGUGUGUUCUUCAUGAUGAGGAAUUCAAAGUCAUGGAAGAUCAUGAUUCUACCUAGCUGGGUGUGAGCAAGUAGCUCUUUUUAACUUUUAUUUACUGUACUUAAAUAACAAUGAUGAACCAUUAUGCAUCCUAUUCUUGAAAUAGCAUCUAUGAAAGUAAUUUUUUUUCUUUUAUUCUUUUGGUAUAGGUGAUGGAGGUUGACUCAUUGCAUCAUGAGAUUUGCUUAGGGAAGAAAAAGAACUUAUAUAACUUCGAGAUAAAAAAAGGAACUAAAGACAAAAUCAAAAAGAAAUUCCAUUACUCAUGGAAGUAGAAAAACAAUGAGAUAGCUAGGGAGAAAAUACUGGGCAUGGUAAGUUCAAAAUUAAGGGAAAAAAAUAAAAGAAAAAGAAUACAUAAGAUGAGAUGUGGAAUAAAAUCCGAGUCAACCUGCCCAAUUGAGCAAGUAAAUCAUUAAACUAGUAUUUUGACCAAUUUAAUAAAAUGAUUUGCUUAUGACAAGUUUAAUUAUGAUUUGACUAUAAUUUUGACCAUUAGGCAACAGUUAAGUACUUAGUUUUAAUGACUUUGAUAUCUAAUAAAAUUAAGACAAGUAAAUUUUAAUGUGUUAAUAUUUUUUUAUACAAUUAUUCAUUAUCAUGGGGUAAGUUGGGUAGGACCACAUUGACAACGAAACUUUUCUAACAAGCAUUUAAGGCAACUAGACAGUUUCCCGUGCAUUGCACGGGUUGAAUUUAAAAAAUUUAAAACAAAUACCUUGGAUACUAUUGAUAUCUAUACCUCUAAGAUUGCUCCUAUAAAACUUAAAUUUUAUAUUUAAAAUUUAAUAAUGACAUAUAUGAAUUCUUAAAAAUAGAGACUGAAAAAUAUUGAGAGACACGAGAUAAAUGGAAAAGCUAAGAUGGAUGGAAUUAUUGCUCCCGUAAAACUUAAAUUUUAUAUUUAAAAUUUAAUAAUGAAAUGCUCUUAUGAAACUUGAAUUUUAUAUUUAAAAUCUAAUAAUGAGAUACAUGAAGUCUUAAAGAUAGAGACUGAAGAAUAUUGAGAGACACAAGAUAAAUGAAAAAACUAAGAUGGAUGGAGUUAUUACUCCCAUAAAACUUAAAUUUUAUAUUUAAAAUUUAAUAAUGAGAUACAUGGCAAAUAAAAUGAAUCAAUGAAUAAAGAAAAUUAAAAUUUAACCAACAUUAAUUGACCAAUAGUAUCAAAGAGAUGUUGAUCAAUCAAAGACUUUCUACAAAAUAUAUAUAUAUAUAUAUAUAUUGAUAGUAUAUCUAGGACUCAAAUUCAAAAUCACUUGUUAAACUAACACAAGCCCCUUACCAAUCAAGCGACGUGCUUGUUGGUAAAUGUGUUAAUAAUGUUAAUUACAAAAGUUUGUUAUGGAAUAAAUAAUCUCUAAAGGAUCUAUAUAUCUUGAUUUAAUUGGAAAUAAGUAUUUUAAGUAUAUAAGGUUAAGUAUAUAAAUUUUUUGAAACAACAACUUCACCAGUAUUUCAUUAACCAAUUAAUGGUCUAGUUUUUGGUACCUUGGGGUUGUUUGAUUACAUGUUUUAUAAUAGUUUAUUUGAAAAAACUUGUUUGAAAAUAUGUUUCAUGUUGUCGAUUUUGAAGAUAAAAGUUAAAAGUUGUUUUGAAAAACUAAAAAAAUUAGAACCUUAUUAGAUGUUUUGAUACCUUUUGCUUUGAAAAAUUAGGAAAAAAGAAGAAAAUAUCAUGUUUUCGUUAAUGACAAUUAUGUUAAUUAUACUUAAGAUAUUUUUAAUUACUUUACACUCCCCAUACAGUACUUUUUCUUUAUUUUUAUGUUAAUUGUGGGCUACUGGAGUAGAUUCCUCUCACAGGAACAUCAAAUCGUUGGUUGAAAUAAAAGAAAAAAUCAGAUCGCAUAUUUGGGCUUAACCCAAAAUCCAUUUGGCCCAUGAGAAUUGAAUGCAUUCUGCCUCAGUAGUCAGUGCGAACUCCAGCUGUGGCCAACUGAUUUAUUCACUGUGCGUCGCCGUGAAAUGGAUCAGAGCACUUUCUCCGCCCGAACCCGGAAAGGCAGACCCAAGUCUGACCUGUUUUCCACCGUCGUCGUGUAAGCGAGACCAAAGCCAGAGCGGACGGAAUGCCAGAAGCCCAGUACCUGAGGAUGAUCCAUAUGCUACAAUGGUCUACAAAGACAAUGGCCAUGGAGAAGACGAAGAUGAUGUCUCCUCCCUCCCACCUCUUCUUCAGCACCUGCCCAAGGACUUUGGUAGUGGAGCCUCGAUGGACUACGAAGACGAUCCUGACGAUAAUGCCGGCAAUUUUAGCACCAUGAUUGUUAAGACUGAUCGAAGUUGGGAGUGAAAUCAUUCUUCUUCGUCGCCCAUGGGUUCGACCUGGAAUUCUUGGAAGUCUCCUUUGAGGCAGGCAAGUGCAACGCGGGACUGGGCGGUGGGGAUGAUGAAGAUGAUGAGGGUGACGAGGGGUUUUCAACAUUCAUCAUCCGUAAAACAGCAAUGUCCAGUGAGAGAGAGUCUAUCAGUGGAACCGUAUUGCGUGGGAAAAUCGGCGGCGCUGGUGGUGGUGGAACUGUUACUGGCUCGAUAAUGGAAAGAGCAGUGGCAAGUAUACAGGCAUCGGGUGAACUAGGCUUUGGGAAACAGAGGAGGGGGAGCGGGCCUAUGCAGAACGACGAGGUUAGGUAGCCAAUGGGGACGAAGGUUUCAUCGAGUUCGAUCCCGAAAAUCGUCACUAGAGAGGAUCCUACAACUAAAGUAUGAAUUGCUCAACGAACGUGAUUCCAUUUAAUACGCGUUGCUCUCAUGGCCAGUUCAAGAAAGUUGUGGAAUACAUAUCCAAACAUAAGAGGAUAUGUGCUAAGGUCAAGAAAAUGGGGUUCCAAUCUCUCUUGGAUUUUAAAUUCAAUAAACUACUGAGGGAGUUAUGUGAACAAAUAAUUACUGCUUUUGACACACCAACCUCAACACUUGGAAUUAUAGGGAAGAAAUUAAGUGUUGAUGGGAAGAAUUUGUACACUAUCUUGGGUGUGCCUUAUGGUGGGAAAGCUGUCUCUUUAGAUGAUCACAACGAAGCAUCUGAAGCAUUAAAGAAGAAUUAUCUUGACAAACCCUUCACUGAGUUGAAGAAUAUGAUAAUAUCCGGGUGUGAGGGAAAUAUACAAAGACUUUUUGCAAUAUGCCAAUACUUUUGCAAGUAAAGUGCUAAAGUUGCAACAAAGUCUUGGCCAGCUUCAAAUAUCUGAUAAUAAAGCUAUUGUGAGGGUUGAUGAACCAAGCGAAGAAGUGGAGGAAGAGGAAUGUGGAGAUGAAGAUGAAGCUGAAGAUAAUGAUGAAGAUGGAGACAGAGGUAGAGAUGAAGCUGAAGAUACACAUGACAAUGGAGAUGGGCAUGAAGAUGAGGAUGAUAGUGGACAUAGAGAUGGAGCUGGAGCUGGAUCUGAAGAAGAUGAAGGUAAGGCUCUGAUAGUAAGGAAGAAAUCACAAAACUUUUUCUUGUCCAAGAAAGUGAAGAAAGACAAGACGAUAAGAAGAGGAGGAGAACAGAUGAAAUCCCGAUCAUUCAAAGGUCUGAAAGGAAAAGGGUUGAGGUAAAUUGGUCACCUUUUCUGAAAGAACCAAUACAAGGGAGACUUACUAAGGAACAACAAAUAUAUGAAUAUUGCACCAGGAAAACCAAUGAAGCAGAGGGUGAAGAGUAAGUAAUGUGAUAUUACUUUUUGCUAAUUAUGGUGCAUUAUGUUUAAUAUAAUAACACUUUUUUUGGUAGGUAUGUAGCUGAGAUGUAUGACUACUUCCUAACUAGGGCAGAAUGCCAAAGUCUUGGUCUCAAAAAAUGGAUAAAUACAGCGGUAUGUCUCAAAGUUUUAAGCAAUUAGUUGUUCAAUUGGAUAGUACAUUGAGUAUUAGAUGUGGUCUUUAUAGGUCAUGAGUAUGGUUGCAAAAGUGAUGGUUGGUGAGCAACUUCGUGAAGGGAAGUGUGGGGGUACAUAUUUGAUUUAGAAUUUAUGGCUAGCCUAAGGGAUAAAAAGUUAAGAUGGUCUAUUUUUAAGGAUGCAAAGAUACUCAUGCUAAUAAACUUGGAUAUACCUUGCAAACUGUGAUUACCUCUUCUUGCCAUGCUUGUGUUCAAUCAUUGGUUUUGUUAUUGUGCUAAUCUAAAGAAUGAAAAAUUUUUCAUCUUUAAUUCAUUGGCUAGGAAGUUAUUUAGAGAGAAGAAGAUGAUGGCUGAAUUUAUGAUAUGCUUUAUUAGUGCUUUUACCUAACUACUUUAGGUUACUUAAAUUUUUAGAUGAGAAUAGUUAUCUAACAUUAGGAACUGUUUAUAAAGAACUCACAUGAUAGAGUUGUUACAAGCAUGUGACCCACAGAAAUAUGGAGAGAAUUUUUAGCUGGAGAUGAUAUUUGAAGAACUUUCCAAAUAGAGUAACGUAGAUGAUUGUGGGGUGUAUGUGAUAAAGUAUUGUGCUGAAUGGGAUGGUAGAAGAAGAAAAGAAGGACUGACCAUAGAGAACUUUUCAAAUGAACAACUAAGAUAGUUUUAGGUGGAUGUGGUAUGGUGGCUAGUAAAUCACACGAGAAAUGAAGUGGGAAAUGAAGUUUUUGCCUCUGUCUCAGCAGCUAACCAACAAAAGAGGGCAGGAAAGAAGUCCACAUGAAUUUUUAAUCUGUGACCUAUUUUGAUCAUUAAUCUUUGAUGGGUGUAAUACACUUGCCUCGCUAAAGAUCCUGCUCUUCAUCUACAUUCACCAUUCUGAUUUUGUAGAAAUUGCUUCUUCUUUAAUUUUUCCCCUAAAUGUCUUAGUUGAAGGUAGACUAUGUAGUUUGUACAAGUGAGGACAUGCUCAAUUAAAUUUUAAGCUGUAACAUUUCAAGGCUUAUAAGAAUAUUUUUACCAGCAAAUUG